CCUACGGGUGGCAGCAGUGGGGAAUAUUGGGCAAUGGGCGCAAGCCUGACCCAGCAACGCCGCGUGAAGGAAGAAGGCCCUCGGGUUGUAAACUUCUUUUCUCAGGGACGAAGCAAGUGACGGUACCUGAGGAAUAAGCCACGGCUAACUACGUGCCAGCAGCCGCGGGAAUACGUAGGUGGCAAGCGUUAACCGGAUUUACUGGGUGUAAAGGGCGUGUAGGGGGGAAAGUAAGUCAGAUGUGAAAACCAUGGGCUCAAACUGUGGCCUGCAUUUGAAACUGUUGUUCUUGAGUACUGGAGAGGCAGGCGGAAUGCCUAGUGUAGCGGUGAAAUGCGUAGAUAUUACGAGGAACACCAGGGGCGAAGGCGGUCUACUGGAGAGCAACUGACGCUGAGGCGCGAAAGCGUGGGGAGCGAACAGGAUUAGAUACCCCGGUAGUC
rnacentral:rRNA from 1 species